CUUGCUACAUGCUGACGAGCGGCGGACGGGUGAGUAAUGCAUAGGAAUCUGCCCGGUAGUGGGGGAUAACCUGGGGAAACCCAGGCUAAUACCGCAUACGUCCUACGGGAGAAAGGGGGCUCCGGCUCCCGCUAUUGGAUGAGCCUAUGUCGGAUUAGCUAGUUGGUGAGGUAAUGGCUCACCAAGGCAACGAUCCGUAGCUGGUCUGAGAGGAUGAUCAGCCACAUCGGGACUGAAACACGGCCCGAACUCCUACGGGAGGCAGCAGUGGGGAAUAUUGGACAAUGGGGGCAACCCUGAUCCAGCCAUGCCGCGUGUGUGAAGAAGCCCUCGGGUUGUAAAGCACUUUCAGCGAGGAAGAACGCCUAGUGGUUUAUACCCAUUAGAAAGACAUUACUC
rnacentral:rRNA from 1 species